UCUUCCCGAAUCUGUUUCUUCUCCACGAAACUGUUCGCGCGCCCCUUCUUCUCUGUCGCCGACUCCUUGCCCUAAUCGCCGACGCCCCCUCCUCACUGCCGCCGUGACGCCAAGCGCUACUGCACAGAGCCGGCGCCACCGCCGGCCACCCCGUGCCCUAGCCGAGCUUCCUCCUGCCGAGGCUGCGCCCUAGCAUCCUCUCCCGCCACCACAGCGCCGCCGCCGAGGACUCGGCUCAAGUCUCUGCCCCAAUCUCCAGCAACGCCGUCCCUCUGCCCUACUGUUGCCUGCCAAUUUUUCCUCUUGUGCCGAUCAUCACCGUGCCCUUGCUAGUAGCCGGCGUCGCCCGGAGCAGUGCUGCUCCUCACUGUGCCGCCUCUCCUCUGUUCUUGAGCAAUCUUUCGUUGUGGUGGAAUUAGGUCACGGUUAAGCACUCAAACCAGCAUCACUAGUGGGUUGGAUCAAGAGCAGAGGUUUGAAUCAAGGGCUCUGAUUCGAGACGGUAUCUCGACGUCGGAUUGGACAUUUCUUAUUGGAGG